rnacentral:rRNA from 1 species
UACGGAAGGCAGCAGUGGGGAAUAUUGCACAAUGGGCGCAAGCCUGAUGCAGCCAUGCCGCGUGUAUGAAGAAGGCCUUCGGGUUGUAAAGUACUUUCAGCGGGGAGGAAGGCGAUGCGGUUAAUAACCGCGUCGAUUGACGUUACCCGCAGAAGAAGCACCGGCUAACUCCGUGCCAGCAGCCGCGGUAAUACGGAGGGUGCAAGCGUUAAUCGGAAUUACUGGGCGUAAAGCGCACGCAGGCGGUCUGUUUAAGUCAGAUGUGAAAUCCCCGGGCUUAACCUGGGAACUGCAUUUUGAAACUGGCAGGCUUGAGUCUUGUAGAGGGGGUAGAAUUCCAGGUGUAGCGGUGAAAUGCGUAGAGAUCUGGAGGAAUACCGGUGGCGAAGGCGGCCCCUGGGACAAAGCUGACGCUCAGGUGCGAAAGCGUGGGGAGCAAACGAGGAUUAGGAUACC